CUGUCUUUUCCCCAUUGAAUGGUCUUGACACCUGUGUGGAAAAUCAUUUGACCAAAUAUGUGAGGGUUUAUUUCUGGACUCUCCAAUCUAUUCCAUUACAUCGGUCUUUAUGCCAGUGCUACACUGUUUUGAUUACUGUAGUUUUGUGAUAAGUCUUGAAAUUAGGAAGGAUGGUACCUCCACCUGUUAUUUUUCAAGACUAUUUGGCCUAUUCAGAGUCUAUAGAAAAUAGAUUUCAUACAAAUGUGAGGAUAGAUUUUUCUCUUUCUGCAAAGAACAUUAAUGGGAUUUUGAUAGGGAUGACAUUGGAUCCACAGAUCACUUUGGGUAGUAGUAACACCUUAACAAUAAUUAAGUUUCCAAUUCAUGAGUACAGACGUCCAUCCAUUUCUUUGUGUUUUUAACUUAUGUCAACAAUGUUUCAUGUUUUUUCGGGUAUAACACUUCUGCCUCCCUAUUCCUAAGUGGUUUGUUUGUUUGUUUUUUUUUUUUUUUGAUGGAUUGUAAAUGGAAUUAUUUUCUUACUUUUCUUGUUUCUCAUUGUCAGUAUUUACAGAUGCAACCAAUUUGCCUGAAAUGUUUUAAGGGAUUUUAUUCAAUAGGUUAGUUCACCCUCUCCCCCUUGUCUUCUAAGCUAUCUGCCCUGCUAUGCCAUAGAGAGACCACAUAGUUGAAAGCACCCUUACUAUGGAAGCGGUUUCUAAUGGGAUCAUGUCAUGUUUCACAGACUGUUUCAUUUUAUCGCCCCAUACUUCAUGUUAUGUUUUACUCUUAUCCUAUUGGAAGAAAUGAAGACAAAGAUAAAAAUGUACCUCCGAGCCUCUGCGACCUCGUCAUUGGACUACAUACAAAUGACUAUGUAACAGUAUUUCUUAUACGAAUUUAGCCUCCACUAAAUCAUUUUCACUCCCUGUGUUGCGUUUUUCAUCAGUCGUAUUCUUAUGCCUUUGGGUGAAGGGCAGGGGUCAAGGUGAGUGUGGUUUUUCACUUAACCAGAAACUUUAAUGUGACAUGACGUUUUUCAUUUACAUCUGUCAUUGGAAACUACACAUUGUUCUUCCGGCCGAUACUUGAAUGGAGUGGUUGUGCAUCAGUCUGGCAUGAAGCUAGAAGAUAUCAUCUAGGAAUGCUAACCUGAGUAUCAAAAGCAGUUUGCCAUUUUCAAGGGUCCAGAAAGACCCUCCAGCACCUUUGUUAUUGCUUUAAUAUGGUUUACUUUUCAGCUUGACAUAUGUGCUACAGAUAAAAUCUUGCAUAACCUGAUAUUUUCCUUUGAACUAUAACAUCUCGGUGACAGUCAAUAGUACUGAAUAAAUGAUUCAAUACAGGAAUAUUGCCCAACUCGUCUUGUGACAUUAUGAGCAUGAGUUGUCAUUUUUUCUGGGACAAUUUGUUGUUGAACAAAUGAGAUUUCCUGAGACCAUGGCCAUUCUUUUUUCGCUGAAGUGGUAAUACACUUGCUUAACUUGCUUUAGGUAGCUUUGCAAAUCUCUACUAUGUUCUGAGAGCUUGAAUGAGAAUUGUCCAAAGUAAGCAUAAAGCUCCAAGGUCCUAAAGCAGUAUUUCUCCAAGAGACCAUAGGCCACAUCUGCAGAUGGCCCAGGUCCCUGCUGAGUGUCACAGUUCUUAAGACCUCCUGUGUCCUUUCCGCCGUGGGAAGGGGGCUUGUAGGAGCUCCUGAGAAGUACAUGGAUUUUGGAAGUCACGGCUUUUACAUCAAGGUGCACUGCUGCCUCUCAGGAAGGAGUAUAGCUAACAAAAGUCAUCUAGAAGCUACUGAAUAAUCCAGUAAAUCACAACUUUGACCUGGCACCAUGACUCUGCCAGAAUGAGAUUGGAAUGCAGGUGAGAAGGGAGUGACAAGGCAGACUUAUAGACAGGUAAAUAGCAAUUCACUCUGAGCCCUGCACUACGCAUGGGGUGAAACUGGCCAGGAAAAUCAGCAGGUUGCCACCUUCUUUACAUCAUCAGAGUUUGAGACUACCUCCAUGUUUCUAAUCGUCAACUACCACAGAAGGACAACCUCAGUUGCUAGGCGCAGUGGGAUGGAGAAGUAUACUCCAUUCUGGCUAUUAGAGGAGAAGGGGUCUGGCCUUGGAUGAUUGUCCCCUCCCCGUCAUUGGUGGCUGUUUGGGUUCUCCUACCCUCUUCUUCUAGGGUCUCAUCUGCCUUCAAGGAGGAGAGGCACAGGGAUAUGAAGUAUGCAACCCAUGGACCCAUGUACAUGGUUCUGCCUUAUUCAAAAAGUGCAAUUUUGAAAAACCUACAUCAAGGUGAAGACGUGGAUUAAAGCCCAGACCAGGUGGAGAAUAGCUACCCAGCGCUCGGAUCACCUGCCAGCCGGCCGGCCGGCCAACCCAGCCUGCCAGAUGCCUCUUGCCAAUGUUAAUGAUACCCAAGACACAGAAAGAAAUGGAAUCCUGCUGAGAAGUCUGCUUCCCGAGACAUUGUGCUAACAGUUUUCAAACUUCACCCAAGCAAUGGUUCCCAGGAACAAAAGCACUUAGAAAGAGCCACAA